rnacentral:rRNA from 1 species
AUUGAACGCUGGCGGCAGGCCUAACACACGCAAGUCGAGCGGAUGAAGGGAGCUUGCUCCUGGAUUCAGCGGCGGACGGGUGAGUAAUGCCUAGGAAUCUGCCUGGUAGUGGGGGAUAACGUCCGGAAACGGGCGCUAAUACCGCAUACGUCCUGAGGGAGAAAGUGGGGGAUCUUCGGACCUCACGCUAUCAGAUGAGCCUAGGUCGGAUUAGCUAGUUGGUGGGGUAAAGGCCUACCAAGGCGACGAUCCGUAACUGGUCUGAGAGGAUGAUCAGUCACACUGGAACUGAGACACGGUCCAGACUCCUACGGGAGGCAGCAGUGGGGAAUAUUGGACAAUGGGCGAAAGCCUGAUCCAGCCAUGCCGCGUGUGUGAGGAAGGUCUUCGGAUUGUAAAGCACUUUAAGUUGGGAGGAAGGGCAGUAAGUUAAUACCUUGCUGUUUUGACGUUACCAACAGAAUAAGCACCGGCUAACUUCGUG